AAGCGCUUGUGACCAGACUUGGGCUUGGUUGAUCAUCCGGGGUUCUCCCCGGUGCACUCUUCCGGCUCAGGCCAGCAUCAGUUCGCCCUGGGGGAUAAAGGCUUCGGGAAUGUGGCUCUCUCCGGGGAGUGUUAUAGCCUGUUGCAUAAUACCCUUCGGCGGGCUGAGGUACGCGCUCCGCAAGGAUGCUGGCGUAAUGGUCAUCAG
rnacentral:rRNA from 1 species